UCUCUCUCUCUCUCUCUCUCUCUCUCUCUCUCUCUCUCUCUCUCUCUCUCUCUCUCUCUCUCUCUCUCUCUCUCGUUUUGAUGUUUUAGUUUUAGUUUUCUUUGAAAAUGUUACAGGGUUUCGAGAAUAUACGAAGCUGCAAGGGUCUCCCGUCACCUCUCUCAACUCCGACAAAAUUAGAGCACAACUUGGAAGUUGUAAUGGCAGUGUGGCACUAGGAACAUGUAAAGUAUUUUGGUUCAUUUGUUGCGCAUUGACGUUUGUUGUUGGGAACAUUUAAUUUAGUUGGCACUUAGAAAAUAUCAGGUUUCUUUUGUUGUCAAAAUGGAAACUUAGAAAAUGUUUGUUGUAGUAGAUGUAAGAAAAUAUUAUUAUGAUGGGCGUGAAUGAUUUUGGAUGUGGUUGAUGGAUGAUGCAUAGUUGGAUGUGGAUGAUGGAAGUAUCUGUAACAAUAUGACUUCCUUUUUUAUUUUUUAUUUUAAUUUUUUGAAGCA